UUGUAACUUCUUCCUGCUUUUGGGUCCUCCGGCUCGAAUCUCCGGACUGGAAAAGGAAACCGGGAUUUGCUGAUAAUGUUUGGAAAGAACUGCGGAUCCAUCCCCUCUCCCAGAAUCCCUUUUCCCCCUCCUUUUCCCUCCUUCUCCCACCAAAUUCCCGUCCCUCUCCACUCCACGGCCUCCAAUUUGCUGACGGUGCCUGAUUUGUUUUUGCUUUGCUGUCUGAAUUUCACCUCUGGCUGCCAAGCACAAACUGCACGAAGAAAUAAAUCCCAGAUUUUGCCUUUCUCCCAGCGGGAAGCUCCAUAAAGAUUCCCUCAUUAGCAACCUCGGAGCUGCCAGAGAUGCUCUGGAACGGCUCCUUCCCCCUCAGAGCUUUAGGGAAAGCUGAAUCAGGGGCUCAAAUAAUUCACACCAAUGAAAAUACCUUGUUUUCCUGAUUAUUCCUCAGCAGGAAGAGAUUCUGGGUGUGCCAAUCCCUGAUAAUCGCUCCCAGGGCUGCAAUUCCUGGGCAUUGAAAUGCAAAGCACCGCAAGGAUCAGCGGAUUCAUCAAACAACACCGGCACUACUUCAGGAAUUUGUUGGUUUUGUUGGUUUUUUUGUUGGUUUUGUUGGUUACACAAGGAAAGGACAAAUCGGCCUCAAACUGCUCCCGUGGUGGGAUUUGGUUGGAAAUUUGGGCUUGGAACAGCCCGGGAUAGCAGAAGGUGUCCCUGCCCAUGGCAGGGGGUGGCACUGGACGAGCUUUGGGGUCCCUCCCAACCCAAACCACUUUGGAAUUCCAUGAUUUUUCAAGUCUCCCAAGAACUGGUCCAUGUCCACAAGAGACUCUCGGGCCAUCCUGCAUCCCAGGUUAUCCUGAAUUCCAAGCAGAAAAAGAUUGGAGUCAAAUGUAACAACAGUGAAUAUUUGGCCCUUCCCCCCUUCCCCCCCCGCCUCAUUUGAAAUCUGAUUAUUUUCUUUAAUCGUUUUCUUUAAUUAAGCUGCUUUUAAUUAACGCUCAAAUGCUUCUGGCAGCUUUAGAUCCUUCCCUGGCCUUUCCAAGCACCCCCAAAUUAAAGAAUGCUUCCCCUGUACUUAAUCCAUUAAAAAACAGGAAUACAGACCGGAGGGUUUGGAUUCCCUAUUUUUUUUUAAA